AAAUAGAUACCCGGGUAGUCCACGCCGUAAACGAUGAGUGCUAAGUGUUGGGGGGUUUCCGCCCCUCAGUGCUGCAGCUAACGCAUUAAGCACUCCGCCUGGGGAGUACGGUCGCAAGACUGAAACUCAAAGGAAUUGACGGGGGCCCGCACAAGCGGUGGAGCAUGUGGUUUAAUUCGAAGCAACGCGAAGAACCUUACCAGGUCUUGACAUCCCGGUGACCACUAUGGAGACAUAGUUUCCCCUUCGGGGGCAACGGUGACAGGUGGUGCAUGGUUGUCGUCAGCUCGUGUCGUGAGAUGUUGGGUUAAGUCCCGCAACGAGCGCAACCCUUAUUCUUAGUUGCCAUCAUUCAGUUGGGCACUCUAAGGAGACUGCCGGUGAUAAACCGGAGGAAGGUGGGGAUGACGUCAAAUCAUCAUGCCCCUUAUGACCUGGGCUAUACACGUGCUACAAUGGACGGUACAAACGGUUGCCAACCCGCGAGGGGAGCUAAUCCGAUAAAACCGUUCUCAGUUCGGAUUGUAGGCUGCAACUCGCCUACAUGAACG
rnacentral:rRNA from 1 species